rnacentral:snRNA from 1 species
UAACACUUCUUAACAGCU